AUCUUUGACGCUGGCAGUCCUGGGUUUCUGCUUGUUCGGCUGCUGUGAGGACGGCGGGCGACCGCAGCUAAGAAAAGAGAAAGACGUGGCAGCACGCGGGAGUCGGAGACAUUGUCAUCGGUUCGAUUUGGGGAUAUUCCCUGCCCAAAAAAUUCCUGGAAAAUUGACUAGUAUUAAGUGCGUAAUAGCUUGGAACUGAGUGAAGACACAGAUGUUCCUGUUGAGAGCAACCAGCUAAUGGUUACAUUUUAAAGACGAUUUCUGUGGCUGAGUGGUCAUUGGAAGAGUAAGUCCUUUUCAAGAGUCCUCGGAGCUGGUCUCACCUCGGAAGCAGUGGCUUGUUCCAGGAAGCCGGUUUUGGCCUGAGAAUUUACCCAGUAUGCCUAAUCAGGGAGAAGACUGCUAUUUUUAUUUCUAUUCUACAUGCGCCAAAGUAAGACUGGCAUCACUAAAUCUGUGGUUUCUUAAAUAACAUUAGCUAAGAUUUCCCUGCAUUCUAAACUGUUUGUAUGUUGUCUUGUUCAGCUGUUAUAUCACCUGCCACCAGUUUUUAGUAAAGAAUCAUGUGUUAAAAAC
rnacentral:lncRNA from 1 species